rnacentral:rRNA from 1 species
GUGUCACAGCCGCGGUAAUACCGGCAGCUCAAGUGAUGACCGAUUUUAUUGGGCCUAAAGCGUCCGUAGCUGGCCGCGCAAGUCUGUCGGGAAAUCCACCCGCUUAACGGGUGGGCGUCCGGCGGAAACUGUGCGGCUUGGGACAGGAAGGCUCGAGGGGUACGUUCGGGGUAGGAGUGAAAUCCCGUAAUCCUGAACGGACCACCGAUGGCGAAAGCACCUCGAGAGGACUGAUCCGACAGUGAGGGACGAAAGCUGGGGUCUCGAACCGGAUUAGAAACCCUCGUAGUCC